GCCGCGGUAGCUCAAUGGGUAGAGCGCCGGCCUGAAGAGCCGGGCGUAGGUGGUUCGAAUCCUCCCCGCGGCACCA
rnacentral:tRNA from 1 species